GAGAGAGGCUUGCUAGCAAUGAAGACUGCUAAUCUUCACCUCUUUGGUUGAACUCCAGAGCUCACUCA
rnacentral:tRNA from 1 species